rnacentral:rRNA from 1 species
UACGAGGGGGGCGAGCGUUGUUCGGAAUUAUUGGGCGUAUAGGGUGCGUAGGCGGUUUGGUAAGUCUUAUGUGAAAUCUACAGGCUCAACUUGUAGUCUGCAUGAGAAACUGCCGGGCUUGAGUAUGGGAGAGGUGAGUGGAAUUCCUGGUGUAGCGGUGAAAUGCGUAGAUAUCAGGAGGAACACCUGUGGCGAAAGCGGCUCACUGGACCAUAACUGACGCUGAUGUACGAUAGCUAGGGGAGCAAGCAGG